rnacentral:rRNA from 1 species
GACGAACGCUGGCGGCGUGCUUAACACAUGCAAGUCGAACGGUGAUGAGGGGCUUGCCCUUCUGAUCAGUGGCGAACGGGUGAGUAAACACGUGAGUAAACCUGCCCUUCACUCUGGGAUAACACCGGGAAACCGGUGCUAAUACUGGAUACGACCUGAACAGGCAUCUGUAUCGGGUGGAAAGAUUUAUUGGUGGAGGAUGGACUCGCGGCCUAUCAGCUUGUUGGUGAGGUAAUGGCUCACCAAGGCGACGACGGGUAGCCGGCCUGAGAGGACGAUCGGCCACACUGGGACUGAGACACGGCCCAGACUCCUACGGGAGGCAGCAGUGGGGAAUAUUGCACAAUGGGCGAAAGCCUGAUGCAGCGACGCCGCGUGAGGGAUGAAGGCCUUCGGUUGUAAACCUCUUUCAGCAGGGAGAAGCGAAAGUGACGGUACCCUGCAG